AUACACAUUCCCAUACCUAGAUAGAUCAUCAGUAAAAAUAAUGAAGUAGAUAUAAUCAUCCCUAGCCUGCACAUCAAAUGAUCCACAUAUGUCGGUUUGUAUUAGGGCAAGUAACUCAAUGGCUCUCUCCCCAUGUCCUACAAAGGGUAACUUGAUCAUUUUUCCUCGAAGAUAGGAUUCGCAAGCUGGAUACUGAAAGAAUAAU
rnacentral:lncRNA from 1 species